rnacentral:lncRNA from 1 species
AUGGUACAUGAUUGCUCAGUCUUAUCUCUUGGCGUGUUUGUAUUUCUCUGCAGUAUGUGGUAUCUGAGCCUACUACAGAAGAAAGAACACAGGAAAGAAUAUAAGCCAUCUCUCUUGCUUAAAGUGGGGUAGCAGCUGAGUCAAAGCUGGGAUUAUCAGAAAUCUGUACCUGAAAUUCCUUUCAAAGAGAAGCACUCAGUGAAGAGAAGGUGGGAUGAGUGAUGAGGAUAAGGAAGAUAAAGACCAGUGAAAAAAAUCAGUUUUAACAGUUUGGCACCAAAUCUAUAAGGAGAAACGUCAAUUUUUUUUCUUUGACAGUAUUUCUAACUGAACUCAUGGGCAAUCAGUCUUCUAUAAAGUAGCAUUUUAAGAGACUACACCAACAGAUUGAAAUGUGGUUGUUGCUUUUUGAAUUUUCAUUCACUGAAAAUUUAUCUUUCAAUCUGUUCGUCACUUAAUUGUUGGAGAUAUGUAGUACUCUCUUUAAUAAUUAGCAAUCAGAUUUCUUCAAAAGAAGAAAAUCCCUUGCAAAAUUAUCUUUUAAAAAGUUGUUGAUUAAAGAGCACUGUUUCUUGGUAAGAGUGCUGUAGAUUACUUGGCAGCACACAUCUUUAUUCAUGAACACCCUUUGAAAUUCAGUUUUGCAUGUAUUUAAUGU